rnacentral:rRNA from 1 species
UACGUAGGGUGCAAGCGUUAAUCGGAAUUACUGGGCGUAAAGCGUGCGCAGGCGGCUAUGCAAGACAGAUGUGAAAUCCCCGGGCUCAACCUGGGAACUGCAUUUGUGACUGCAUAGCGUAGAGUACGGUAGAGGGGGAUGGAAAUUCCGCGUGUAGCAGUGAAAUGCGUAGAUAUGCGGAGGAACACCGAUGGCGAAGGCAAUCCCCUGGACCUGUACU